ACGGGAAGCAAGAUUGUCGCAGGCGGGGCAUGAUUAUGCUUUGCGUGAGGAAAGUCGGGACAGCACAGAGCACCAUACUUCUUAACAAGAAGGUAUCUGAAAAGAUAACAGACAGUGCCACAGAAAAUUACCGCUCUAAAGAGCAAGGGUGAAAACGUGAGGUAAGAGCUCACGCGUCAUUAUGGCGACAUGAUGACGGGGUAAACCUUAUGGGCUGCAAAACCAAAUAUACCGGUGUUUGAGGGCUGCUCGUCCGAGCCGGGUGGGUAGGUCGCUUGAGUUUGAUGGUGACGUCAGACCUAGAGAAAUGACAAUCACCUUAUCUUAUAAGGUAACAGAAUCCCGCUUAUGUCUUCCCCAAUAAA
rnacentral:RNase_P_RNA from 1 species